rnacentral:rRNA from 1 species
UGCAAGUCGUACGCUUCUUUUUCCACCGGAGCUUGCUCCACCGGAAAAAGAAGAGUGGCGAACGGGUGAGUAACACGUGGGUAACCUGCCCAUCAGAAGGGGAUAACACUUGGAAACAGGUGCUAAUACCGUAUAACAAUCGAAACCGCAUGGUUUUGAUUUGAAAGGCGCUUUCGGGUGUCGCUGAUGGAUGGACCCGCGGUGCAUUAGCUAGUUGGUGAGGUAACGGCUCACCAAGGCCACGAUGCAUAGCCGACCUGAGAGGGUGAUCGGCCACAUUGGGACUGAGACACGGCCCAAACUCCUACGGGAGGCAGCAGUAGGGAAUCUUCGGCAAUGGACGAAAGUCUGACCGAGCAACGCCGCGUGAGUGAAGAAGGUUUUCGGAUCGUAAAACUCUGUUGUUAGAGAAGAACAAGGAUGAGAGUAACUGUUCAUCCCUUGACGGUAUCUAACCAGAAAGCCACGGCUAACUACGUGCCAGCAGCCGCGGUAAUACGUAGGUGGCAAGCGUUGUCCGGAUUUAUUGGGCGUAAAGCGAGCGCAGGCGGUUUCUUAAGUCUGAUGUGAAAGCCCCCGGCUCAACCGGGGAGGGUCAUUGGAAACUGGGAGACUUGAGUGCAGAAGAGGAGAGUGGAAUUCCAUGUGUAGCGGUGAAAUGCGUAGAUAUAUGGAGGAACACCAGUGGCGAAGGCGGCUCUCUGGUCUGUAACUGACGCUGAGGCUCGAAAGCGUGGGGAGCAAACAGGAUUAGAUACCCUGGUAGUCCACGCCGUAAACGAUGAGUGCUAAGUGUUGGAGGGUUUCCGCCCUUCAGUGCUGCAGCUAACGCAUUAAGCACUCCGCCUGGGGAGUACGACCGCAAGGUUGAAACUCAAAGGAAUUGACGGGGGCCCGCACAAGCGGUGGAGCAUGUGGUUUAAUUCGAAGCAACGCGAAGAACCUUACCAGGUCUUGACAUCCUUUGACCACUCUAGAGAUAGAGCUUCCCCUUCGGGGGCAAAGUGACAGGUGGUGCAUGGUUGUCGUCAGCUCGUGUCGUGAGAUGUUGGGUUAAGUCCCGCAACGAGCGCAACCCUUAUUGUUAGUUGCCAUCAUUCAGUUGGGCACUCUAGCAAGACUGCCGGUGACAAACCGGAGGAAGGUGGGGAUGACGUCAAAUCAUCAUGCCCCUUAUGACCUGGGCUACACACGUGCUACAAUGGGAAGUACAACGAGUCGCGAAGUCGCGAGGCUAAGCUAAUCUCUUAAAGCUUCUCUCAGUUCGGAUUGUAGGCUGCAACUCGCCUACAUGAAGCCGGAAUCGCUAGUAAUCGCGGAUCAGCACGCCGCGGUGAAUACGUUCCCGGGCCUUGUACACACCGCCCGUCACACCACGAGAGUUUGUAACACCCGAAGUCGGUGAGGUAACCUUUUGGAGCCAGCCGCCUAAGGUG